GAUGAACGCUGACAGAAUGCUUAACACAUGCAAGUCGAUGGGGAAGUGGUGCUUGCCCCAUGGCAACCAUGGCGGACGGGUGAGUAACGCGUAAGGGACUUACCUGCAGGACUGGGAUAACAGGGGGAAACUCCUGACAAGACCGGAUAAUGUCAUGGAGCUGCAUGGCUUUAUGAUGAAAGGAGACGCCUGCGGAGAGCCUUGCGUCCUAUUAGCUAGUUGGUGAGGUAAUGGCUCACCAAGGCGAAGAUAGGUAGCCGGCCUGAGAGGGUGGACGGCCACAAGGGGACUGAGAUACGGCCCUUACUCCUACGGGAGGCAGCAGUGGGGAAUAUGGGACAAUGGGGGCAACCCUGAUCCAGCAAUUCUGUGUGCACGAAGAAGGUUUUCGGAUUGUAAAGUGCUUUCAGCAGGGAAGAAGUAAGUGACGGUACCUGCAGAAGAAGCGACGGCUAAAUACGU
rnacentral:rRNA from 1 species